UCUGACUGAAGUUCUGACAUGGAAGCACUUCUGUGAUAAGCCAGUCUUUGCCCUACCAGUCGAUAAGCAAAAUAGAACAGAACUGUUGGAGUGUUCUGUUGGGCAAUGCUCAAAUGUCACCACGACACCAACAUGUCAUCACAGUGACAUCGCUGCGUGGCACCCAGGGCCUGGCUGGCUGAAGCAACCAGAAGAGAUGUCACUGACCAGCACUUGCUGCUGGUCCUGAACAGAGCCACAGGUGUUUAAACAGCAUCUGCCUGCCAGUUAGUGUUUUUGCUACAAGGCAACCCUUACACUAUGGAUAAAGGGCCAUGAUGAAAACCUACAGAAUAAAAUCUUGC
rnacentral:lncRNA from 1 species